UACGUAGGAUGCAAGCGUUGUCCGGAAUUAUUGGGCGUAAAGAGCGCGCAGGCGGUAUGACAAGUCAGAUGUGAAAGAGGCCGGCUUAACCGGCAAGGGUCAUUUGAAACUGUCAGACUAGAGUGCAGCAGAGGAUAGUGGAAUUCCCGGUGUAGUGGUGAAAUGCGUAGAUAUCGGGAGGAACACCAGUGGCGAAGGCGAAUCUCUGGACAGUUACUGACACUGAGGCACGAAGGCCAGGGGAGCAAACGGG
rnacentral:rRNA from 1 species